ACGAUGUUCCGCUGUAGUAUUAAGCUUUCAAGAGCAUCUG
rfam:Bacillus okhensis strain Kh10-101 contig15, whole genome shotgun sequence.